GUGCUCCCUUAGCAGCCCUCACACUGUAACUGCAAUGACACAGAAAAGAUAAGCCUGAACCCUGCACAAGAAUGACAUGAGGUAUUUGAAAUGCAUUUUAAGAUACA